rnacentral:rRNA from 1 species
UAGUAACGGCGAGUGAAGCGGCAACAGCUCAAAUUUGAAAUCUGGCUCUCGGGCCCGAGUUGUAAUUUGUAGAGGAUGCUUUUGGUGCGGUGCCUUCCGAGUGCCCUGGAACGGGACGCCAUAGAGGGUGAGAGCCCCGUCUGGUUGGAUGCCAAUCCUCUGUAAAGCUCCUUCGACGAGUCGAGUAGUUUGGGAAUGCUGCUCUAAAUGGGAGGUAUAUGUCUUCUAAAGCUAAAUACCGGCCAGAGACCGAUAGCGCACAAGUAGAGUGAUCGAAAGAUGAAAAGCACUUUGAAAAGAGAGUUAAAAAGUACGUGAAAUUGUUGAAAGGGAAGCGUUUAUGACCAGACUUGGGCUUGGUUAAUCAUCCAGGGUUCUCCCUGGUGCACUUUUCCAGUCCAGGCCAGCAUCAGUUUGCUUCGGGGGAUAAAGGCUUCGGGAAUGUGGCUCUCUCCGGGGAGUGUUAUAGCCCGUUGCGUAAUACCCUGGGGCGGACUGAGGUACGCGCUUCUGCAAGGAUGCUGGCGUAAUGGUCAUCAACGACCCGUCUUGAAACACGGACCAAGGAGUCGUCUUCGUAUGCGAGUGUUCGGGUGUCAAACCCCUACGCGUAAUGAAAGUGAACGCAGGUGAGAGCUUCGGCGCAUCAUCGACCGAUCCUGAUGUUCUCGGAUGGAUUUGAGUAAGAGCAUACGGGGCCGGACCCGAAAGAAGGUGAACUAUGCUUGUAUAGGGUGAAGCCAGAGGAAACUCUGGUGGAGGCUCGCAGCGGUUCUGACGUGCAAAUCGAUCGUCAAAUAUGAGCA